UACGUAGGGCGCAAGCGUUGUCCGGAUUUAUUGGGCGUAAAGAGCGUGUAGGCGGCCAGGUAGGUCCGUUGUGAAAACUAGAGGCUCAACCUCUAGACGUCGAUGGAAACCAUCUGGCUAGAGUCCGGAAGAGGAGAGUGGAAUUCCUGGUGUAGCGGUGAAAUGCGCAGAUAUCAGGAAGAACACCCGUGGCGAAGGCGGCUCUCUGGGACGGUACUGACGCUGAGACGCGAAAGCGUGGGGAGCGAACAGG
rnacentral:rRNA from 1 species